CACGGGGAUGCCUCGAGGUCCCCUGGGAAGGAGCAGGCAGGCCGGCCCUGUUCCCCUCCUCACAGGCCCUGGACGGCAGGCACCUGGUCUAGGCGACAGUCUCUCCCCUGCACCCUGACAUACGUUCCUAGUUCUCCCCUGAUCUCUUCUCACCAGCCUCCAGAUCCUCCUGGGCAGAGAACGUGGGACCAGCAGGCAGGCCGAGGGGUUCACCCUUGUCUCCCAAAGGCUUCUUCCCAGUGGUUCCUACCCUCGACUGCUCAGUCAGACGCCCCGGUCCUGGGUAACUUUGUGAACAAGUGGGUGCCCAGGCCCCAGCUGAGGUUCUGAAGCCACUGAUUGGUCUGUAGUGUGGCUGGCCACACGCAUGGUGGGACACCUCUCCCUCCCCACCCCCACAGCUGUGAUAUGUGGCCAGGAUCAGAGCAUAGUGAAAACAACACUGAACGCCAUGCCGGCAGCCUGGGGCUGGAAUCUGGAUGCUCGCUCGGGCUUGAAGCCAUGGGAGGGGCAUCCUGAGGAGAAAGGACCAAGCGGAAGAAUUUGGGGUGUGGAAGGAACCAGGACACCCAACCGAGCUCUCCCGUCUUUCUGCACAUGAGAAGCACCAGUCAGCAGAUGUGGCAGGAUCACCAGGCAGGGGAGCCAGCUCUGAAGUUGAGAGUUAACGAGGCCUGCAUUGGUUCUGACUCUGUAGCUAAGCAGCUGGGAUCAGAGCACAGCUCCCAAGAAACUGCUCAGUGCACCCUGGCAACAAAGCAACUCAGCCCUCCCCAUCCCAGUGUAAUUCAGCUCAACGAGACUCCCAUGCGCUCUGUUAUUCUAAAAGUAGUUAUUGAGUACCAGGGACGAGUCAGCCACCAUGCGCGGAGCUGUGGAAGUAGAAGACGAAGUCCAUGUCCCCAAGGAGACUGGAUUCUUUUGUAGGGACUGAGGUUUCGACACACAUCUGCCACUCUACUGAGCCCAUGAAGGCGGCCGGGAGAGGGGAGAGAGACAAGGCCCUAACCUGUGACCUCACUGGGGAGACAAGGGUCCUGUAUAUGGGACACCAAAGGAUUAGGAAGCUCAUCAUUGACCUUGGUGGCCACAAGUGGAAGUGAACGUGGCCAGGUUCAGGCUGUGUGUGCCUGCACAUGCUCCGGGUGGACCCGACAUGGCUGUUACAUUCCCGGUGUCACGGGAGGACAGAGGGAUUUGACUAGGUGGGCCUGACUGCUAAGUCACCUUGACAAACUGCACCAGCUCUGGCACGAGCGGAGUGGGCUGGGACAUCUACACGGACUCUGCUGUGUCUCGGUUCCUUCUCACCAUUGCCCACCCCCUCUCUGCUCCCUUCUCCCACCUCUCGGAGCAGGGAACCUUCCACAGAAAGCAGCUGGGCUCUAGGCUUGUUGGAAUGCCUGCAUUUAGGAAACAGUGCAAGUUGCAAUAAACACCACACAUCCUUAAGAUCUUUAAACGGU
rnacentral:lncRNA from 1 species